UACAUGGGGUGCAAACGUUGCUCGGAAUUAUUGGGCGUAAAGCGCGCGUAGGCGGUUACUCAAGUCGGAUGUGAAAGCCCUCGGCUUAACUGAGGAAGUGCACCCGAAACUGAGUAGCUAGAGUACUAAAGAGGGUCGCGGAAUUCCCGGUGUAGAGGUGAAAUUCGUAGAUAUCGGGAGGAACACCGGUGGCGAAGGCGGCGACCUGGGUAGAUACGUGACGCUGAGGCGCGAAAGCGUGGGGAGCAA
rnacentral:rRNA from 1 species